UGGGGUGUGGCCAAGUGGUAAGGCAAUGGGUUUUGGUCCCGUUAUGCGGAGGUUCCAAUCCUUCCAUCCCAG
rfam:Gossypium arboreum cultivar AKA8401 contig_155837_1, whole genome shotgun sequence.